AUAUUGGUCAAUGGACGAGAGUCUGAACCAGCCAAGUCGCGUGAGGGAAGACUGCCCUAUGGGUUGUAAACCUCUUUUAUAAGGGAAGAAUAAGUUCUACGUGUAGAAUGAUGCCUGUACCUUAUGAAUAAGCAUCGGCUAACUCCGUGCCAGCAGCCGCGGUAAUACGGAGGAUGCGAGCGUUAUCCGGAUUUAUUGGGUUUAAAGGGUGCGUAGGCGGUUUAUUAAGUUAGUGGUUAAAUAUUUGAGCUAAACUCAAUUGUGCCAUUAAUACUGGUAAACUGGAGUACAGACGAGGUAGGCGGAAUAAGUUAAGUAGCGGUGAAAUGCAUAGAUAUAACUUAGAACUCCGAUAGCGAAGGCAGCUUACCAGACUGUAACUGACGCUGAUGCACGAGAGCGUGGGUAGCGAACAGGAUUAGAUACCCUGGUAGUCCACGCCGUAAACGAUGCUCACUGGUUCUGUGCGAUAUAUUGUACGGGAUUAAGCGAAAGUAUUAAGUGAGCCACCUGGGGAGUACGUCGGCAACGAUGAAACUCAAAGGAAUUGACGGGGGCCCGCACAAGCGGAGGAACAUGUGGUUUAAUUCGAUGAUACGCGAGGAACCUUACCUGGGUUUAAAUGGGAAAUGUCGUAUUUGGAAACAGAUAUUCUCUUCGGAGCGUUUUUCAAGGUGCUGCAUGGUUGUCGUCAGCUCGUGCCGUGAGGUGUCGGGUUAAGUCCCAUAACGAGCGCAACCCUUACCGUUAGUUGCUAGCAUGUAAUGAUGAGCACUCUAACGGGACUGCCACCGUAAGGUGAGAGGAAGGCGGGGAUGACGUCAAAUCAGCACGGCCCUUACACCCAGGGCUACACACGUGUUACAAUGGCCGGUACAGAGGGCCGCUACCAGGUGACUGGAUGCCAAUCUCAAAAGCCGGUCGUAGUUCGGAUUGGAGUCUGUAACCCGACUCCAUGAAGUUGGAUUCGCUAGUAAUCGCGCAUCAGCCAUGGCGCGGUGAAUACGUUCCCGGGCCUUGUACACACCGCCCGUCAAGCCAUGGAAGCCGGGGGUGCCUGAAGUCCGUAACCGCGAGGAUCGGCCUAGGGCAAAACUGGUAACUGGGGCUAAGUCGUAACAAGGUAGCCGUACCGGAAGGUGCGGCUG
rnacentral:rRNA from 1 species